CUCUUUUCCUGGGCAGGGACGAGGCGCCCUGGUGGAAGGGAGUCACGUGACACCUCGGAGGAGUCAGGGUGGAGGAAGAGGACAAGCUGGUUUCCCUUCCUGCUUCUGAGUAUUCUGAGGCCUGUCCACAGGUAAGGAGGCCGGGGAGGGGGAGGCCCUUCAGAAAGGGAAGGCACAGCCACGUUGGCUUCUCAGGAGUGUUUGUAUGGUGGAGAGUGGACGAGAAGAGAGAAGAAACUGGGGAAAACAAGCAGCUUGGCAUCAUACUGGCCUAAUAAGCUGAAGAGGCUGUCAUGAAAAAGUGGCAUGCAGGGAAGACCGAGCUGCAGGCCAGGCCUGCAGUAGAAGUGCAGGGUGCACUGUCCACUGGUUGUGUGGAAUGAAGGAAAAGAGGCUCUAAAACGGAUCGCGCUGCUGGAGGGCGGAGUGAACACUGCCUGGGAUUCAGGACCACGGGAGCAAACAGGACCAAGAAACGCACCCUGCUUUGGGCUGCUGAGUUUGAGUUACAUGCAGCUCUUUCAGUACAGCUGAGUUCAGAAAGUGACAGUCAGAUGCAGACUUCUGGGAACAGGGCUGUGAGACACUGGCCACAGCUACCACCAGGACAUGGAUGGGAGCCACCUGAGCAUACUGUUCCAUGUCCUCACAGAUGCCCAGUUUUCACGAAGAGAUUUUGAAUGCCUCUGAAGAUAUAGAUGUUUCACUCCUAAUUCACAGGACUUGAGACUAUACAGAGAUGGAUGUCAUGGGGUCCUCCAUCUCGUCCACGUUUUAGGAAUUAAACAAAGCCCAGGAAAAGACUCCUGGGUGGACAGAGUGACAGGCUCCCCAAACAUCAGGACCCUGCACCACGCAGGCCUUACCUCACUCUUUAGACCCAUUGCUAUGGCUUAGGUCUAAACUGGCUCCCAAAGCCUCACGUGUUCGGGAGGUGACUGAAUCAUGGGACCUCACAGCUAUGGGCUGUCAAGAGGUGGGGCCUGGUCAGAGGAGGGGUCACAGGGGGCAUGACCCGGAAGGGUUAUCUCCCCCGGCUCCUCCUUCACUCUCUGCUUCCUGUCUGCCAUGAGUUGAGCAGCUUUUCCUCCCCCAUUCCCUCUGCCCUGCCUUGGAGCCAGCAGAAUACAGACUGAAACCACUGCCAACUGUGAGCCACAAUAAACCUCUUCCCCUUUAAACUGUGAGCACUGGGUGUUGGUCCUCGCUGGCUAAGACAUCCACCUUCCCCCUCCUUGGCUUCAAGUCCUUCGGGGGGCACGGUGCUGCCUCAUACUCAGCCCCUGAUGCUGGAACACCCUCUCCUGCCCUCUGUCUCUUGAGAAGACCUACAAGUUUUCCUGAGACUCAACUCAUAUCCACUGCACCAAGAAGCCUACCAUGACCACCCACCCUGGGUGGGACAGGCCUCUCUGGGCUCGGCACACCUCCUGGCCCUUGUGUGCAUUCCUAGAGCAGAGCCGACACCACUGACAUUGAGCAGGAUGGUUUCGUGCCCCCUUUUCUGCUUCUGUGUUAGCAUUUUGGGGAUAGAGGCUAAAUCUCCCUCUGCUCCCACAGAAUAUCUGGCCCAGCGUGCGAGGCUCCAUCAGGAAGAAGGGAGAGCAAGGAGUAGGAUGGCAGGAAGACAGGAAGGGGCCCGGGCGGCCACAUCCAGGGGCUUGGAGAGGCUGGAGCGCAGGUAUGCGGGGUGAGGACCGGACCAGACUGGUGCCAGGGCACAAGGGGACCCCCCACACAUGCGCACAGAAUCAGGGCAAAGAAUCCAGCUUUGCCGGAGCCCUGAGUGGCAGCUCUAGGCACAGCCAAGCUCUGCCUGAAAACCUCACCGUAAACUCAGAUUCCGGCAUCCGGCUGUGGUCUUUCUUCUAGAACAACACAUGGAUUUUUCAAAGCAUUGAAAGGGCUGUUGCUUACUUACCGCUGCCCAGGGGACGAUCCACGGGAUCGCUGGAUGAGUCCUGGCCAAGGAUGACUCUCCUCCUGUGGUUCAGACAGGUCUGCGCAGGCUGCUCACCGGGACUUCCGCCGUUCUCAAGAGCUGCUGUCAUCUCCACAGCUGCAUCAGCUCCCCCAAGCCCUGGCGUCCCCCUGAGAUCUGAUCCUUGUGCCAGCCCCACAGUGACAGUCCCUAACUCAAGAUGGCGUGAUUCACAAGUUUUCGACUUUCCAGUGGUGUGAGAGCCUACUGCAUCAGGAGACCCUGCUGGUACCUGGGAGUUUGGAUUGCGACCUUCUCACGGCGGGCAGUACCCGGUGAACUCUCAUGCCACUGAGUGGCGGAGCUGGGAGUUUGGAAGGCUUGGUGUAUUGAGGGCAUUUUCCAUGGAGAAUAUUUUCAACGCACCAUGGCCUUUAUCAGGAGAGAGACCCAUCAUAAACAGAGGAGAACCUGUAAUUAUAAAAUAAUACACCACUGUUAUAGAUGAGUUGAAAACCAAUGUAGCAAAAAGAAGACCUAGAGACAACGGUGCUUAGAAAACACAAGUAUUCACUUACAAAGAGUCUUGCAUGUGAGUAAAUUUUAUGAGUGGCCUUCAACCAUGGUUGUAUGUAGAAUGCUCUGGGAAACUUAAACACCUGGUGUCCUGCCUACGCCCUGGACCACUGAAUCAGGAUGCCUGGGGUAGAAGCCACGCCAGUAUUCUGUAAGACUCCCCUCAGGAUCCCAAUUCACAGCUGCGGCAGAGAAAGACCGGCCUAGAAGGAUGGCUCACCAAAUAAAAACACAUAUGUGUGCAGAGGACAGACACAGAUGUGCAGGUUGCUAUUCGUGCUGGAUAAAUGACUAGCACACGUGCAAGGUCAUACACGGACACAGCCGUGGUGAAGACUGGCACCAAGCCAUGUAGUAAGGAGUUAGAGACAUACAGGACCCACUUAAGAUUUUACUUACUGGUGGGGCCAGAGCGGGCAGAAUGUCUCUAAUCCUGCAGGUGCUGUUUGCUUUUCCCCUGGCCUUGGGUGGUGAUAUACACACUUCUAACACAGGCCAGGUGCCUACUGUGCCUCUGCAUUAAGAAAUAUAUAAAGUCACAUUUAAAGUUUUUCUAAACUCCCAAAUCUACUCCUAAGAGCCAGCCACUGAUACUCUAGAUGCAAUACCUAUGCUUAUACAAAUUACACACACACACACACACACUUCAUCAUCAACAUCCUGUCGUGAGACAUCAGGUUAGCUCAUUUUUCAGUAGAUGCGUACUCAGCAGCUGAGCAUCCAGAUAAUUCAUCACAGACAUCAGUGUCAUAGUGAGUUCUCCCCACUCUUGCAAGGAAUACUGCAGCGGACCCAAUCACACGCUUAUCUUUGGCUGCGUACAAACAUGAGGACAGGUUCCUAGGGUUCCUAGAAGCUUGUUUGCUGGUUAAAUAGGCUCGGCCAAAAUGUCCUCCUAAGAGGCUGCAGCAGUUUACAUUUUCUCCUGGUAAAGUAAGAGAAUAUCCACUGCCCCACACCCUUCUCAAUACCGGUCUUUAUUUUUUGAAUUGGCUCCCCUAGUGGAUACCAGAAAGGACUUGGCAAUCUUUUAGAAGUUAUACAAAUGAAAGAUAGAUAUGCAAAUGAAAAGUCACCUUUUCUGAAAGGUCCAGCUUCAAGCCCUAGACACACAAACCUGAGAAGGUGGUACCAUCUAGGGGCUCCCCUGUCGCUUUCUGGAAAGAUACCAAUUAUUUAGGCAGAAAAGGUACAUUGUAAAUAAUGAAUAACAGGGAACUUCUUCCGGAAGGCUGCAGCUUUUCCCAGGGGUAGCGACUGUGGUAGCAGAUGUGCCGCCCAAAAUUUCCCUGAGCCUCCCCAGCAGGGGCGAUCUGGGAGAUUUGCCUGUACUCUGAACAGAGCCUUUACUCCAUCUGUGUUCUCUUUUAUGGCUUUUGAUUUCAAUCAGUCAUUGGGCUGCUGAGGGUGAGAGGCUUCCACUGUCACUAACUCACAGGCACAGUGCAGGGGACUGAAGCCACCUCCCCAUCGAGUUUGGCUUCAAAACAAAGGGUUGGACCCCACGGCUGUUUUCUCGCCUGGGGAGCCCCUUGCCCCAGCACAGACCCAAGAACUCCUAGGCCCCUUCGGUCUCAUCAGACCAGUUCAUUCCAAGAACCUUCACUGACUCUUGUAGAGGUGACUCUCCUGCCUCUGCCUCCUACACAUUGCAUGAAUAACUGCAACCUGCAAUGUGCUGCUCAAUAAUUCAUGUGUGCGCCUUUUCUCUGACCCCAUCUUCCAGCUGUGCUGCUGGGUCUUAUUUAUCUUUGCAUCUCCAGUAGGCGGUGCCUGGUAAGUUUGCUGAACGGAUGUGUCUCCAUUUUGAAUCCCUGCCGGGGCUGGGCAGCAUCACCCAUCACCUCUGGCAUCUACACUGCCCCCCCAGUUCACAGCUCCUGGACCUUUCCCAGCUUCCCCGGAGUCUCUGAUGGGCCACAUGACUAGUUCUGGCCUGGGCACACGUGUGACUGAAGUAUUGUGUGGCACUUCCUGCCAGAGGCCAGGAGGAGGUUGCUCUCUCUCCUGCUGCCACGGCUGGAGGCCAAGAACUCAGAAAGCAGGACUCAGGAUGGAGACAGAGCAAGUCUGUCCUCGCUGCGGAGAGUAGAAGGAAGCGUGGGGCUGGGCUUUGCUGUCAUAGCCAAGUUCGGCCUGGCCUGACCGAAGCGGCCUGUGGACUUCACAGGACCUGUGUGGGAGAGAAGGCCCGAAACAGGAGCGUGUCACUUGGUCACCAGGCCUCUCGUCCCUCAGCAAGUCAGGGUGGUGCCGGAGAUUCUAGGCUUAAAUCACUCUCUGAGCGAGUGCAGCUUUCCUGUGCUGACAGAGACACACUCCCAUCCACAGAGAAGGAAGCAACCCCGGGCCAGACCCAGAUUCCAGCCACACUAUUUCUGAUGCUCUGCCAGGAGACAGUGGUCCUCCCUCAAGCCCAGGUCCUCUGGGGUUCGUACUCUAGGAAUAAGGUUGACCUAUUUAGAAAUGGGACAGACUCCACGUCUCUGCAGCUAACUCCACUGAAGGAUGUCCGUGUUGAAGUAGCAUGGUGGUAAAAAGGUUAACACCAAAUUUGAAGUUUAUUCCUAAGCAGACAUCCUGAGCCCCAGGGAAAGACAGCAGCUGCCCCGUGGCCCAGAUAAUGCAAUAUCAGGGUGAACAAGGACAUCAUGGAACGUUCUGUUCUCCUCCCCUGAGACCAAUUAAAAUCUGCAGGCAUCUUUCCUGUUGACCAGGCUGACUGGCUAAUUGAAACAGGAUUGUGAUAUUUUCAUCCCUGUUCUCUGAUCCCUGCCUGUCUUGCCAGCAGAAAGCAAGCUCUGUGAUCCUCAGCUCCAAGCCACUGAGGCCGAGCGCACGGCUCUAUGCCCAGCCUAGAAGCAGAAUGUCCAGACGAAAGAGGCAUGGGCGAGUCGGGGCGUGGUGGUACCCCCAGACCUCGGUCUCCGUUUAUCCAGAGGAGAAACAACCUCCCAAGAAAAUCUACCUGCCGGGGAUUUAGCUCAGUGGUUCCACCAUCUGCCUUGCAAGUGGAAGGACCCGAGUUCAAUCCCCGGUACCAAAAAAAAAAACAAAACAAGAAAGUCUACCUGGUGAGCAAGACAUAUGCUGCCUUUGCUACGGGUUCUCCUGUGACCUCACCCCACAGCCUAUGCUGGGGCGCAGAGCCCUGCCGAAGCCCAGCAGGGCACCUUCAUCUCGCUGACACCCCAGGAGCCACGUAACCUUAGGGUACCCCACACAGCACCACGCCCUGGAGGGCUGCACAUUCCAGCUGUGUGCAGCAGCCCGCACAGCAGGCCCACGAUGGGAGUCUUUCUCUCCUCUCCAAACCUACCCAGAAGCUGGGCCAGCAUCGGUUCUGGCUCAAGGAGGCUCUGGUUGACAAGAUCUCGGGAAGAAGAACAACACUCAUAACUCCAGGACAAAGACUUCAGCCUCAGCACCUGUCCCUGAGCUUCCUAAAGAAGUGCAGACGCAGGGGCAGCCCGGCAGGCAGACCGUGUCGGCCUGGAAGCCACUUCUCACCGCACUGGCUUGAGAGGCUAUGAACCGAGUGCUGCGUCCCCUAAACUGUCUGCCCUGAAGCCCUAACCCCCAAGUGAUGGAGUGAGGAGGUGGAACUUGUUAGGUCUUGGGUGGAGACUCAUGAUGGCAUUGUGUUCUCAUUAGAAAGGACUCGGGGACCAGAGUUAAUGGAAACGCCUUCUGUGUUCGAAAUGUUCCUGGAGAGAUUGUGAGUGUUCUACUGCAAAACAAAAACAAAAACGUGUGGCCCUGGGAGGUGCUGGAUAUGUCAGUUAGCUUUAUUGUGAUAAUUAUUUUGUAACCAAUUUGUUCUGUGUUAAUAAACCUGUUUUGGUGAUGGAAAACAAUGUUCCCUCCUUAAAUGUGGGAGCAAGCCAAGAAUGCCUGUUC